rnacentral:rRNA from 1 species
UACGAAGGGGGCUAGCGUUGCUCGGAAUCACUGGGCGUAAAGGGCGCGUAGGCGGAUCUUUAAGUCGGGGGUGAAAGCCUGAGGCUCAACCUCAGAAUUGCCUUCGAUACUGGAGAUCUUGAGACCGGAAGAGGUAAGUGGAACUGCGAGUGUAGAGGUGAAAUUCGUAGAUAUUCGCAAGAACACCAGUGGCGAAGGCGGCUCACUGGUCCAUUACUGACGCUGAGGUGCGAAAGCGUGGGGAGCAAACAGG